rnacentral:rRNA from 1 species
GAUGAACGCUGGCGGCGUGCCUAAUACAUGCAAGUCGAGCGAACAGAUAAGGAGCUUGCUCCUUUGACGUUAGCGGCGGACGGGUGAGUUACACGUGGAUAACCUACCUAUAAGACUGGGAUGACUUCGGGAAACCGGAGCUAAUACCGGAUAACAUAUUGAACCGCAUGGUUCAAUAGUGAAAGGCGGCUUUGCUGUCACUUAUAGAUGGAUCCGCGCCGUAUUAGCUAGUUGGUAAGGUAACGGCUUACCAAGGCAACGAUACGUAGCCGACCUGAGAGGGUGAUCGGCCACACUGGAACUGAGACACGGUCCAGACUCCUACGGGAGGCAGCAGUAGGGAAUCUUCCGCAAUGGGCGAAAGCCUGACGGAGCAACGCCGCGUGAGUGAUGAAGGUCUUCGGAUCGUAAAACUCUGUUAUCAGGGAAGAACAAAUGUGUAAGUAACUGUGCACAUCUUGACGGUACCUGAUCAGAAAGCCACGGCUAACUACGUG